UUUUAUUACAUAUCUUAAAAAUAUUAUUCUUUAUUAUAACUUUAUUUAUACAUUUCCAGUAUUUAGAUCAAUGUCCCUGUAAUCCUGACAAUGUUAUAAAUCAAAUUGUAAUUCAGUCAUAUAGUUUGAUUUAUAGCUAUUUUUAAGUUAAAUUAUAGUAUUUUUAGGUCAGACUGAAUUACCUUAGCAUUACUGCUUUCAACUGCUGAAUGUAUGAAAGACAUCCAAUUUGAUAUAAGGGUGUGAUAGCAAAGUGAAGGUCCUCAGAGUUUUGUGAGCAUUUUGCGUUCCCUUACUUCUUUUAGUGGCUGUAGAGCAUGAUGUCUAAUCAAGAUUCCAGUGUCUUGCACAAUUCCCACUUUAUUGCUCUGGGUUUUCAGUGUAUACCCAAUUUAAUACAAAAUUGUUGCUUCAUGAAGCUUAAAAGACUUUUGCUUUCUUAUCAGGAAAUGAACAAAAAGGGAAUAUGCAAUCACCAAGAGACAUAUUCCCUAAGCACGGUGACAAACAUCCUCAAAAGGACAGCUUGAUGCCAAAAAUAUUUGGGGUAUAGGAUUGGCUCAUUCAUUCAUUCAUUUGUGAAGGAACACUUAACCAGAAAUUAUUACAUUGCCUAGUGAAAGUGGAAAUCAAGGGGCACUCCAGCUACACAGCACCUUCCAACAACCUCGCACUUAGCUAAUGCUCAGUGAAGUCCCUCAAAUCCACGUUUUCCUCAAUAUUAGUUAAUAGUUCAGCUUGCUUCUGUCUGUUAAUGGCGUUAUACAUCCAACCACUGGUACACCUGCUAAUAAAACUGGGCAGCUGAAAAACAAGAGAGUAAAUUCUAGUCCACCGUAAGAAGUUGACUUAUUUUCAUCUUUCUUUAUCAUUAAGGGGAAGGAGUUCUUUGGAAAUAAUUUUAAGUCUGAAAAGCCAGGGUAGCAUGAUACCUGAAAUUUUUAAUUUGUACAUUCUGUUGUCUGAUCAUUUGCAUGGAAGAGACAAUAGUGCAGCGUCUGAAUUAUUCUUUUGUGCUUGGUUAAUCUGUACCUCUCUAGAUCGUUCUAUUCCAAACGACAUUUCUUGCUCUUUGGUUUUCAGAGGCAUUCAAAGCAAAAUUAUCACAGUGAUCCUUUUUUUCUGUUUUUUUUUAAAAUCAAUCUUAAAAGACCUGUGAUUAAAUUUUGAUUUGUUAAUGUAAAUAAAUUUCUUGCCAAUGAGUAUUAUUGUUGUUAGACAACGAAUGCAAUAAAAAGAGAAA